AAACUUAAAUGAAUUGACGGGACCGCACAGCGGUGGAUGAUGUGGAUUAAUUCGAUGCAACGCGAAAAACCUUACCUACCCUUGACAUGUCUGGAACCUUGGUGAGAGCCGAGGUGCCUUCGGGAGCCAGAACACAGGUGCUGCAUGGCUGUCGUCAGCUCGUGUCGUGAGAUGUUGGGUUAAGUCCCGCAACGAGCGCAACCCUUGUCAUUAGUUGCUACAUUUGGUUGGGCACUCUAAUGAGACUGCCGGUGACAAGCCGGAGGAAGUGGGGAUGACGUCAAGUCCUCAUGGCCCUUAUAGGUGGGGCUACACACGUCAUACAAUGGCUGGUACAAAGGGUUGCCAACCCGCGAGGGGGAGCUAAUCCCACAAAGCCAGUCGUAGUCCGGAUCGUAGUCUGCAACUCGACUACGUGAAGUCGGAAUCGCUAGUAAUCGUGGAUCAGAAUGUCACGGUGAAUACGUUCCCGGGUCUU
rnacentral:rRNA from 1 species